UCCUACGGGAGGCAGCAGUAGGGAAUUUUCGUCAAUGGGCGCAAGCCUGAACGAGCAAUGCCGCGUGAACGAGGAAGGUCUUCGGAUCGUAAAGUUCUGUUGAAGGGGAAAAAGAGCGGAGAGAGGAAAUGGUCUCCGAUUGAUAUUACCCUUCGAGGAAGUCGCGGCUAACUACGUGCCAGCAGCCGCGGUAAUACGUAGGUGGCGAGCGUUAUCCGGUAUGAUUGGGCGUAAAGGGUGCGUAGGCGGCCUGCUAAGUCUGGAGUGAAAGGUACCGGCUCAACCGGUACAGGCUCUGGAAACUG
rnacentral:rRNA from 1 species